rnacentral:lncRNA from 1 species
AAUGCUUGCUCAGGCGAGCUUUAGAGAAAAAGGGAAGAGAUUGUUUGUUGAAUUAUGAACUACCAAAGCAAUAAACUAAUUAAUUAUAAAGGUAAAUUAUCUAAAAGAUCUAGGGCUCUUGAAUCCACUAGACCAAUGAAUUAGAGAGCCUUCCUAUGAUUUCUCUUAUAAUGUCCCUUGAUCAAGGUGUAAAAUAUGAACAAGCAUGG